UACGAAGGUGGCAAGCGUUGUUCGGAUUUACUGGGCGUAAAGGGAGCGUAGGUGGUGCGGUAAGCCCUCCGGGAAAGCUUCAGGCUUAACCUGAAAAGGUCGGGGGGGACUGCCACGCUAGAGGACGGGAGAGGAGCGCGGAAUUCCCGGUGUAGCGGUGAAAUGCGCAGAUAUCAGGAAGAACACCCGUGGCUAAGGCGGCUCUCUAGUACGGUACUGACGCUGAGACGCGAAAGCGUGGGGAGCGAACAGG
rnacentral:rRNA from 1 species